CCUACGGGAGGCUGCAGUGAGGAAUAUUGGUCAAUGGGCGCGAGCCUGAACCAGCCAAGUCGCGUGAGGGAUGACUGUCCUACGGAUUGUAAACUUCUUUUGUCGGGGAGUAAAAUACGCCACGCGUGGCGUUCCGUGAGUACCUUAUGAAAAAGCAUCGGCUAACUCCGUGCCAGCAGCCGCGGUAAUACGUAGGAUGCGAGCGUUAUCCGGAAUGACUGGGUGUAAAGGGUGCGUAGGUGGUUUGGCAAGUUAGUAGCGAAACUCUAAGGCUCAACCUUGAAACUACUACUGAUACUGGUGGACUUGAGUGCAGUAGAGGCAACCGGAAUUCCUAGUGUAGCGGUGGAAUGCGUAGAUAUUAGGAAGAACACCAGUGGCGAAGGCAGGUUACUAAACUGUAACUGACACUGAGGCACGAAAGCGUGGGGAGCAAACAGGAUUAGAUACCCCUGUAGUC
rnacentral:rRNA from 1 species